UACGGAAGGUCCGAGCGUUAUCCGGAUUUAUUGGGUUUAAAGGGAGCGUAGGCCGGAGAUUAAGCGUGUUGUGAAAUGUAGUGGCUCAACCUCUGCACUGCAGCGCGAACUGGUCUUCUUGAGUACGCACAACGUGGGCGGAAUUCGUGGUGUAGCGGUGAAAUGCUUAGAUAUCACGAAGAACUCCGAUUGCGAAGGCAGCUCACGGGAGCGCAACUGACGCUGAAGCUCGAAAGUGCGGGUAUCGAACAGG
rnacentral:rRNA from 1 species